rnacentral:rRNA from 1 species
CCUACGGGAGGCAGCAGUGAGGAAUAUUGGUCAAUGGGCGAGAGCCUGAACCAGCCAAGUCGCGUGAGGGAGUACUGCCCUAUGGGUUGUAAACCUCUUUUGUCGGGGAGCAAAAGCCGGACGUGUCCGGCUGUGAGAGUACCCGAAGAAAAAGCAUCGGCUAACUCCGUGCCAGCAGCCGCGGUAAUACGGAGGAUGCGAGCGUUAUCCGGAUUUAUUGGGUUUAAAGGGUGCGCAGGCGGAUUUUUAAGUCAGCGGUAAAAUCGUGGGGCUCAACCCCAUCCAGCCGUUGAAACUGGGGAUCUAGAGUGUGCGAGAGGUAUGCGGAAUGCGUGGUGUAGCGGUGAAAUGCAUAGAUAUCACGCAGAACCCCGAUUGCGAAGGCAGCAUACCGGUGUACAACUGACGCUCAGGCACGAAAGCGUGGGUAUCGAACAGGAUUAGAUACCCUUGUAGUC